rnacentral:rRNA from 1 species
AGAGUUUGAUCAUGGCUCAGGACGAACGCUGGCGGCGUGCCUAACACAUGCAAGUCGAGCGGAGAUCGCAGUAAUGUGAUUUCAGCGGCGGACGGGUGAGUAACGCGUGGGCAACCUGCCUUCGACCGGGGGAUAACACAGGGAAACUUGUGUUAAUACCGCAUAAAGUCACGGUAUGACAUCGUACUGUGAGCAAAGGAGCAAUCCGGUAGAAGAUGGGCCCGCGUCCGAUUAGCUAGUUGGUGGUGUAACGGACCACCAAGGCGACGAUCGGUAGCCGAACUGAGAGGUUGAUCGGCCACAUUGGGACUGAGACACGGCCCAGACUCCUACGGGAGGCAGCAGUGGGGAAUAUUGCGCAAUGGGGGGAACCCUGACGCAGCAACGCCGCGUGAAGGAUGAAGGUUUUCGGAUCGUAAACUUCUUUGACCGGGGACGAAUAAUGACGGUACCCGA